rnacentral:misc_RNA from 1 species
GCUUUUUUUUUUUGUUUAUUAUAUAUCAAGAUUAUUAUGAUGUUUAUUAAAUUAUUCUUUAAAUGUUGAUUUGAGUGUGCUUUCUAACUUUGUAAAGCAAUUCAUGAUAUUGGCCUCUGAUUUGCUUUUGAUUCCAUGACAUUGUUUCCAAUUCUUUUAUUUAGAACCCUGGAGUGGGGCCAUUAGAAGAAAACCACGUUAUUGAUUUAUGGUGAAAUCUGCUUCUAUAAAUCCCCAGCGCCAUUGAUGGUGAAGUUCGAAGUUAUAAUAUUUGGAAUUGAUGGUGAUCAAUUGUUGUUUUAAUUCUGGACCAUAGGGGUAAGGAAAUGACAUUUGGAAAUAGGAAUAGGACACUACUACUUCGAAUCACGUGCUAAUUUUACCCAAAGAUAAUGGCCCUCAAAAUUGAAAAUCAUUCCUAGUUGUAAAUUUACAAUGAGUCAACAUGAAGAUGAAGAUUGCUUUUUAUCAUUCAUUCCUACUGCAGCUCUUAAUAAUAAUAAUAAUAAUAAUA